rnacentral:rRNA from 1 species
AAUAGAUACCCGGGUAGUCCACCCCGUAAACGUUGGGAACUAGUUGUGGGGACCAUUCCACGGUUUCCGUGACGCAGCUAACGCAUUAAGUUCCCCGCCUGGGGAGUACGGCCGCAAGGCUAAAACUCAAAGGAAUUGACGGGGACCCGCACAAGCGGCGGAGCAUGCGGAUUAAUUCGAUGCAACGCGAAGAACCUUACCAAGGCUUGACAUAUACGAGAACGGGCCAGAAAUGGUCAACUCUUUGGACACUCGUAAACAGGUGGUGCAUGGUUGUCGUCAGCUCGUGUCGUGAGAUGUUGGGUUAAGUCCCGCAACGAGCGCAACCCUCGUUCUAUGUUGCCAGCACGUAAUGGUGGGAACUCAUGGGAUACUGCCGGGGUCAACUCGGAGGAAGGUGGGGAUGACGUCAAAUCAUCAUGCCCCUUAUGUCUUGGGCUUCACGCAUGCUACAAUGGCCGGUACAAAGGGCUGCAAUACCGUAAGGUGGAGCGAAUCCCAAAAAGCCGGUCCCAGUUCGGAUUGAGGUCUGCAACUCGACCUCAUG